CUCGCGUCCGAUUAGGUAGUUGGUGAGGUAACGGCCCACCAAGCCGACGAUCGGUAGCCGGACUGAGAGGUUGGACGGCCACAUUGGGACUGAGACACGGCCCAGACUCCUACGGGAGGCAGCAGUAAGGGAUAUUGGUCAAUGGGGGAAACCCUGAACCAGCAACGCCGCGUGAGGGAAGACGGUUUUCGGAUUGUAAACCUCUGUCCUCUGUGAAGAUGAUGACGGUAGCAGAGGAGGAAGCUCCGGCUAACUACGUGCCAGCAGCCGCGGUAAUACGUAGGGAGCGAGCGUUGUCCGGAUUUACUGGGUGUAAAGGGUGCGUAGGCGGCUGUGCAAGUCAGUAGUGAAAUCCAUGGGCUUAACCCAUGAACUGCUAUUGAAACUGCACAGCUUGAGUGAAGUAGAGGUAGGCGGAAUUCCCGGUGUAGCGGUGAAAUGCGUAGAGAUCGGGAGGAACACCAGUGGCGAAGGCGGCCUACUGGGCUUUAACUGACGCUGAGGCACGAAAGCGUGGGUAGCAAACAGGAUUAGAUACCCUGGUAGUCCACGCUGUAAACGAUG
rnacentral:rRNA from 1 species